AUUGAACGCUGGCGGAAUGCUUUACACAUGCAAGUCGAACGGUAGAGGGGGCAACCCCUCGAGAGUGGCGAACGGGUGAGUAAUAUAUCGGAACGUGCCCAGUCGUGGGGGAUAACGUAGCGAAAGUUACGCUAAUACCGCAUACGAUCUAAGGAUGAAAGCGGGGGAUCGCAAGACCUCGCGCGAUUGGAGCGGCCGAUAUCAGAUUAGGUCGUUGGUGGGGUAAAGGCUCACCACGCCAACGAUCUGUAGCUGGUCUGAGAGGACGACCAGCCACACUGGAACUGAGACACGAUCCAGACUCCUACGGGAGGCAGCAGUGGGGAAUUUUGGACAAUGGACGCAAGUCUGAUCCAGCCAUUCCGCGUGCAGGAUGAAGGCCCUCGGUUUGUAAACUGCUUUUGUACGGAACGAAAAGGUCUCUCUUAAUACGGGGGGCUCAUGACGGUACCGUAAGAAUAAGCACCGGCUAACUACGUGCCAGCAGCCGCGGUAA
rnacentral:rRNA from 1 species